GACGAACGCUGGCGGCGCGCUUAACACAUGCAAGUCGAACGGAAAGGCCUGCUUUCCCUUGUGGAUUGCGGGUACUCGAGUGGCGAACGGGUGAGUAACACGUGAGUGAUCUGCCCCCAACUUGGGUAUAAGCCUGGGAAACUGGGUCUAAUUCCCGAUAGGACUGCAGGGUGGUGCCUGUGGUGGAAAACGAUUUUCUAGUGGUUGGGGAUGAGCUCGCGGCCUAUCAGCUUGUUGGUGGGGUAAUGGCCUACCAAGGCGGCGACGGGUAGCCGGCCUGGGAGGGUGGACGGCCACAUUGGGACUGAGAUACGGCCCAGACUCCUACGGGAGGCAGCAGUGGGGAAUAUUGCACAAUGGGCGGAAGCCUGAUGCAGCGACGCCGCGUAGGGGAUGACGGCCUUCGGGUUGUAAACUCCUUUCGACCGCGAGGAAGCCACCUGGUUGGAAGGGUGGUGACGGUAGUGGUAGAAGAAGCACCGGCUAACUACGUG
rnacentral:rRNA from 1 species